GAUGAACGCUGGCGGCGUGCCUAAUACAUGCAAGUCGAGCGAACAGACGAGGAGCUUGCUCCUCUGACGUUAGCGGCGGACGGGUGAGUAACACGUGGAUAACCUACCUAUAAGACUGGGAUAACUUCGGGAAACCGGAGCUAAUACCGGAUAAUAUAUUGAACCGCAUGGUUCAAUAGUGAAAGACGGUUUUGCUGUCACUUAUAGAUGGAUCCGCGCCGCAUUAGCUAGUUGGUAAGGUAACGGCUUACCAAGGCAACGAUGCGUAGCCGACCUGCGAGGAUGGUAGGCCACACUGGAACAGAAACGCGGUCAAGACCACUACGAGAGGCAGCAGCAGGGAAUCUUCGGCAGUAGGCGAAAGCCUGACGGAGCAGCGCCGAGUGAGUGAUGAAAGUCUUCGGAUCGUAAAACUCUGUUAAUGGGGAAGAACAAAUGUGUAAGUAACUAUGCACGUCUUGACGGUACCUAAUCAGAAAGCCACGGCUAACUACGUG
rnacentral:rRNA from 1 species